rnacentral:rRNA from 1 species
CGAAACCGAUAGCGAACAAGUACCGUGAGGGAAAGUUGAAAAGUACUCUGAAUAGAGAGUUAAAUAGUACGUGAAACCGCUUAGGGGUUAAGCCCGAUGAACCCGAAUAUCUGAUGUGAGAAAUUCAAUACGAUUCAAAUUCAUAUUUUUAUAUUGGAUUUGUAUUGUAUGCACUUUUCUCAUAGUAAGACAUUGUAAUCCAUUGAUACUAUAUCUCAUUAUGAGAUGAUUUAACAUAUGGACAAAAUGUUUAUGAUUAUUCUAUCAGUGAUAUGUUUACAUGUCAUAUGAAUAAAAUCGUUUUGUUUCCUGUUUAAAUAAUCGAUGGAUUUUUCAUUGAAAUCAUGCUUGCAAUUUAUUUUGCGUUUCGUAUCAUUAAUUUUUAAUUGUUGAUAGCAGAAAUGGCAUGUAUUCGAUUAACAAUGCGAUAGAUUUGGGAUACUUUCAGGACCCGUCUUGA